rnacentral:rRNA from 1 species
GACGAACGCUGGCGGCGUGCCUAAUACAUGCAAGUAGAACGCUGAAGAGAGGAGCUUGCUCUUCUUGGAUGAGUUGCGAACGGGUGAGUAACGCGUAGGUAACCCGCCUGGUAGCGGGGGAUAACUAUUGGAAACGAUAGCUAAUACCGCAUAAAAUGGAUUAUCGCAUGAUAAUCCAUUGAAAGGUGCAAAUGCAUCACUACCAGAUGGACCUGCGUUGUAUUAGCUAGUUGGUGGGGUAACGGCUCACCAAGGCGACGAUACAUAGCCGACCUGAGAGGGUGAUCGGCCACACUGGGACUGAGACACGGCCCAGACUCCUACGGGAGGCAGCAGUAGGGAAUCUUCGGCAAUGGACGGAAGUCUGACCGAGCAACGCCGCGUGAGUGAAGAAGGUUUUCGGAUCGUAAAGCUCUGUUGUAAGAGAAGAACGAGUGUGAGAGUGGAAAGUUCACACUGUGACGGUAUCUUACCAGAAAGGGACGGCUAACUACGUGCCAGCAGCCGCGGUAAUACGUAGGUCCCGAGCGUUGUCCGGAUUUAUUGGGCGUAAAGCGAGCGCAGGCGGUUAGAUAAGUCUGAAGUUAAAGGCUGUGGCUUAACCAUAGUACGCUUUGGAAACUGUUUAACUUGAGUGCAAGAGGGGAGAGUGGAAUUCCAUGUGUAGCGGUGAAAUGCGUAGAUAUAUGGAGGAACACCGGUGGCGAAAGCGGCUCUCUGGCUUGUAACUGACGCUGAGGCUCGAAAGCGUGGGGAGCAAACAGG